UUCCAGACUCCUACGGGAGGCAGCAGUGAGGAAUAUUGGUCAAUGGGCGGAAGCCUGAACCAGCCAAGUCGCGUGAGGGAAGACGGCCCUACGGGUUGUAAACCUCUUUUGUCGGGGAGCAAAGCGAACCACGUGUGGUUCAUUGAGAGUACCCGAAGAAAAAGCAUCGGCUAACUCCGUGCCAGCAGCCGCGGUAAUACGGAGGAUGCGAGCGUUAUCCGGAUUUAUUGGGUUUAAAGGGUGCGCAGGCGGAGGUGCAAGUCAGCGGUCAAAUUGCGGGGCUCAACCCCGUACUGCCGUUGAAACUGGUGAUCUUGAGUGGGCGAGAAGUAUGCGGAAUGCGUGGUGUAGCGGUGAAAUGCAUAGAUAUCACGCAGAACUCCGAUUGCGAAGGCAGCAUACCGGCGCCCGACUGACGCUGAGGCACGAAAGCGUGGGGAUCGAACAGGAUUAGAUACCCCUGUACGU
rnacentral:rRNA from 1 species